rnacentral:rRNA from 1 species
UACGUAGGGUGCAAGCGUUAAUCGGAAUUACUGGGCGUAAAGCGUGCGCAGGCGGUGAUGUAAGACAGGUGUGAAAUCCCCGGGCUUAACCUGGGAACUGCAUUUGUGACUGCAUCGCUGGAGUGCGGCAGAGGGGGAUGGAAUUCCGCGUGUAGCAGUGAAAUGCGUAGAUAUGCGGAGGAAUACCGAUGGCGAAGGCAGCCCCCUGGGAUAACACUGACGCUCAUGCACGAAAGCGUGGGGAGCAAACAGG